GCAUAGGUGGUUCAGUAGUAAAAUUCUUGCCUCCCAUGCUGGAGACCCAGGUUUGAUCCCUGACCAGUGCA
rnacentral:tRNA from 1 species